rnacentral:rRNA from 1 species
CUAGGGGCGCAGCAGUGGGGAAUAUUGGACAAUGGGGGGAACCCUGAUCCAGCGAUGCCGCGUGAGUGAAGACGGCCUUCGGGUUGUAAAGCUCUGUCGCAGGGGACGAAAAUGACGGUACCCUGCAAGAAAGCUCCGGCUAACUACGUGCCAGCAGCCGCGGUAAUACGUAGGGAGCAAGCGUUGUCCGGAAUUACUGGGUGUAAAGGGAGCGUAGGCGGGAGGAUAAGUUGAAUGUGAAAUCCAUGGGCUCAACCC